UUCGCAAUGCCCGAAAGGGUGACGAAGCGACGCCGCGUGGGUGAGGAAGGCCUUCGGGUUGUAAAGCCCUGUCAGGAGUUAAGAAAUGUAAGUGUGCUAAUAUCGCAUUUACUUGACGAAGGCUCCAAAGGAAGUCACGGCUAACUCUGUGCCAGCAGCCGCGGUAAUACAGAGGUGGCAAGCGUUGUUCGGAAUUAUUGGGCGUAAAGAGCACGUAGGUGGGUUUGUAAGUCAGAUGUGAAAGCCUCCUGUUCAACGGGAGAAUUGCAUCUGAAACUACAAACCUUGAGUGUAGGAGGGGAGAAUGGAACUUCUGGUGGAGCGGUGAAAUGCGUAGAUAUCAGAAGGAACGCCGGCGGCGAAAGCGAUUCUCUGGCCUAUUACUGACACUCAGUGUGCGAAAGCUAGGGGAGCAAACGGGAUUAGAUACCCCGGUAGUCCUAGCCGUAAACGAUGGGCACUAAGUAGAGGGGUUUU
rnacentral:rRNA from 2 species